GACGAACGCUGGCGGCGUGCCUAAUACAUGCAAGUUGAGCGAUGAAGAUUGGUGCUUGCCCCAAUUUGAAGAGCAGCGAACGGGUGAGUAACGCGUGGGGAAUCUGCCUUUGAGCGGGGGACAACAUUUGGAAACGAAUGCUAAUACCGCAUAACAACUUUAAACAUAAGUUUUAAGUUUGAAAGAUGCAAUUGCAUCACUCAAAGAUGAUCCCGCGUUGUAUUAGCUAGUUGGUGAGGUAAAGGCUCACCAAGGCGAUGAUACAUAGCCGACCUGAGAGGGUGAUCGGCCACAUUGGGACUGGGACACGGCCCAAACUCCUACGGGAGGCAGCAGUAGGGAAUCUUCGGCAAUGGACGAAAGUCUGACCGAGCAACGCCGCGUGAGUGAAGAAGGGUUUCGGAUCGUAAAACUCUGUUGGUAGAGAAGAACGUUGGUGAGAGUGGAAAGCUCAUCAAGUGACGGUAACUACCCAGAAAGGGACGGCUAACUACGUG
rnacentral:rRNA from 1 species